AACCAUGAGUUGACCUUUGGCCUGUGAAGCUGAAUAAAUUGUUCAAAUCUUACCCCUAAAUGUCUCAUUACACAGCCUGAGCUGGCACUGGAAAGGAUUGAAGUGAAGAAGAUGUGUGCGCUCUGAACCCCUGAAGCAUGAGCCUCACUCCGUCCAACAGAAGGUGGUGCUGAGAUCUGCAGAAGCCAAAUGAGGAAAUUAUGAUGAAAUAUUUGACCUACAUCGGGAAAUGUCAAUUAAAAUAAGGUCAGUGAUCUAAAUAUU
rnacentral:lncRNA from 1 species